rnacentral:lncRNA from 1 species
CGGCGGCCACGUGACAGGGGGGUCACGCGCAGGGUCGUAGGGGACCGCCUGGGGAUCCCCGGACGGCUGCGAGGAAUGAGCGGUUGGCUCGGGCUGGUUUCCUCCCUCCACCGCCUGCUUGUUUCGCCAUGCCCGGGCCGGACGGUGGGGCUGCAGCGGCGAAAGCGACUGAAGUCCGGGAGCAGUCGCAUGAGCUUCCCGGUCACCAGGAGGCCCCGGGAACAGACACCUCACCCUGACAUUGUGGCAGGAACUUCUGGAUUGCUUUCCAAAGUGGCUGCACUGUUUUCUAUCCCCACUGGUAAAUGGCAGGAAAACAUCUAAGAAAGGAGGCUCCCCCCUUCCCUUGCAGGGUUACCAGCAAUUAAAAAGAAGUACUAGAGAGGCAAAUAUCGGCAGUAUACAUCUAAGCGCUGGUCGGAAAAGAAGGAACUCAGCCCAAGAACUUGCCCAAUCUGAUACUGGAGGUGCCACUCAAGAACCACUCCCUCCAAGAUGUUUUCCUGGAUUUCCUCAGCCUAAAGUAAUCCCUCUUUUUCCUGGGCUAUACCAUCUGGAACAGAUGACUUCCAAGGACACCGUAGCAAAGAAAAAGAGAACUGGAAGCCCAUGUGCCUUAAUCGCUUCAUCCUAGAGGUAACACAGAACUUCUGCAUACAUUUCAUUGGCAGGAACUAAUCACCUAACCCCAAUUUAACCACAAGGAAGACUGGGAUAUGUAGAGGCAUAGCUAGUAGAUUUCACGUCUAUUAACAGUCUCUGCUAUACCCCCUCAGUACCAACUGACCACUAACUUCCCACCCCACUCACCAGGAAUGUAUAGCUGCUGAUGAUUUUCGAAUUCGGUAAGAGACUGGAUUGUGAAUAUCAGACCACCUCUUCAGUCUAACAGACAGUGCUUGUUUUACCUAAGGUGAGGAGACAGCACAGGCAGUACUCACUUGUUUGUCAGUUACAGUCCUUUUCCUCUCCCUCUCUCAUUACUCACCAUGAAACACACAUUGUCCCUUCUACUUCUGUCCCAAGCGUCACACUCAUAAGAACAUAAGAAGUGCCCCCAGAUCAAACAAGAGUGCUUGAAUAGAAAGUGAGAUAUUUCUUCUUUAUAAGGUUGACCUUACAAGGCUGAGGCAGGCUAUGCCUAAUUAUGUAGGGACCCUAAUGUCUCAUGGUUGUGUCAGCAUAAAUUAAUUAAUGAUUAACCCUCUAACAAGGCUAAGUGAACAGAAUUCCCCAGUGUCCUGAGAGAAGGAAAGUUAAUGUGUUCUUUCUCCCAGGAGGAGGAUAACCAGUGGAGCCUUUUCUGGAUUUCUCACUAGAAGUAAAGACCAAAUUUCCAGAAGGAACCUGAGAGAUAAAAAGUGGUUGGCUGCUCCUGACCUGACUCAUAGUGUUUAACUGAACCAUACCACUAGUGUAUACUAGUGUGUGUGUAUGUACAUGCAUACACACAUGCACACACACAUUCACACACAAUCCUAUGGUAUUUGGUGACUUUGGAUGCCCAGCUCUUGCAACAAUUUCCUGCUGUCAUUCUUUUCCCUUUGAAUCUCAGGGGUGAGCAAACUAAAGAAAUACUAUCAUCUUACUGCUUUUAGUAUAUUCCAUAGAAAAGGAGUGGCUGGAGUCAGUGUAGAUCAACCCAAGCAGUACAAAUCUGCCAGAAUUGCAGCUCAGCUUCCUUACCUCCAGCAUGUGUACCUUUCUGAAGGGUAGGCCCUUAAGCCAGACAUAAGUAAGUUAUCCACUCUGUGCAUAACUGUCUGACUUGGCUUAGAAGCAUGAAAGGGGCAGAAAUGUAAGAUGGGUAAAGAAGGGCUUCAUCUGAAAUAGGGCCAUGAUGAUUAGCUCUCUCUUUCCUUCCUUUGGCUUCAUUGCUGUAUUCCAUGUGGGUCUUGAUAUCUUGAAACUGGAUGAGAUACCCAAAUAGUCAGUCCCUGAAUAUAAAUCAUUUCCUUGUACAGAAUCACUGCCAAACUCAGUAUGGUUAAAAGAUUUUUAACACCCAGCUGCAGCAUUCACUCUGGUUAGAAUUGGCCAUUUAAAUUUAUUUCACAUAUGUAAGUAUCAUAUCCUUUAUAAUGCAUUCUUAAUUGUUGCUCAGUUCUUCCAGAUUGAAUUCCUUUAAAAAAUUCCUUAUGUAAUCUUUUAAUUCUAGUUGGAAAACAUCACUUGACAGUUGCUGUUUAUACAGGCAUGCCUCGUUUUAUUGUGCCUGGCUUUAUUGUACUUUGCAGAUACUGUGUUUUUCACAAAUGGAAGGUUUGUGGCAACCCUGCGUUAAGCAAGUCUGUUGGCACCAUUUUCUCGACAGCAUGUGCUAACUUUGUCUCUGUCUCACAUUUUGGUAAUUCUCUCAAUGUUUCAAACUUUUUCAUUAUGAUUACAUCUGUUAUGUGGAGCUGUGAUCAGUGAUCUUUGAUGUUAACAUUGUAAUUGUUUUGGGGUGCCACAACUGUGCCCAGAUAAGACAGUGAACUUAAUUGGUAAAUGUUUUAUGUGUUCAGACUGUUCCACUGACUAGCCCUUCUUCAAACUCUCUCACUCUCCUUGGGCCUCCCUAUUCCCUGAAAUACAACAAUAUUGAUAUUAAGCCAAUUAAUAACCCUACAAUGAUUUCCAAGUGUUUAAGUGAAAGGAAAGACAUGUAUGUUUCACCUUAAAUCAAAAGCUAGAAAUGGCCAGGCGUGGAGGCUCACGCCUGUAAUCCCAGCACUUUGGGAGGCCAAGGCGGGCGGAUCACAAGGUCAGGAGAUCGAGACCAUCCUGGCUAACACGGUGAAACCCUGUCUCUACUAAAAAAUACAAAAAAUUAGCCGGGCGUAGUGGCAGGCGCCUGUAGUCCCAGCUACAUGGGAGGCUGAGGCAGGAGAAUGGCGUGAACCUGGGAGGCGGAGCUUGCAGUGAGCCGAGAUCGCGCCACUGCAUUCCAGCCUGGGUGACAGAGCGAGACUCCAUCUCAAAAAAAAAAAAAAAAAAAAAAAAAGCUAGAAAUGACUAAGCUAAGCUAAGUGAGGAAGGCACGUCAAAAGCCCAGCGAGGCCUCUUGUGCCAGCCAGUUAGCCAAGUUGUGAAUGCAAAGGAAAAGUUCUUGAAGGAAAUUAAAGUGCCAUUCCAAUGAGCAUGUGAAUAAGAAAGCAAACAGCCUUAUUGCCGAUAUGGAGAAAGUUUUAGUGAUCUGGAUAGAAGAUCAAAUGUUUUCUUAAGCCACGAUAUUCCCUUAAACCAAAGCCUGCCUAAUCCAGAACUGGACCCUAACUCUCUUCAAUUCUAUGAAGGCUGAGAGAGAUGAGGAAGCUGCAGAAGAAAAGUGUGAAGCUAGCAGAGGUUGGUUCAUGAGGUUUAAGGAAAGAAGCUGUCUCCACAACACAAAAGUGCAAAGAGCAGCAAGUGCUGAUGGAGAAGCUGCAGCAAGUUAUCCAGAAGAUUAACUAAGAUCAUUGAUAAGAGUAGCUGCACUAAACAACAGAUUUUCCAUGUAGACAAAACAGCCUUAUAUUAGAAGAAGAUGGCAUCUAGGAAUUUUUUUUUUUUUGAGAUAGAGUCUCACUCUGUUGCCCAGGCUGGAGUACAGUGGGGCGGCCUCAGCUCACUGCAACCUCCGCCUCCUGGGUUCAGGUAAUUCUCCCUGCGCCAGCCUCCCAAGUAGCUGGGAUUACAGGCGCCCGCCACCAUGCCCAGCUAAUUUUUGUAUUUUUUAGUAGAGAUGGGGUUUCGCCAUGUUGGUCAGGCUGGUCUUGAACUCCUGACCUUAAGUGAUCUGCCUGCCUCGGCAUCCCAAAGUGCUGGGAUUACAGGCAUGAGCCACCGUGCCCGGCCAGCAUCUAGGAUUUUAAUAGCUGCAGAGGAGAAGUCAGUGCUUGGCUUCAAAGGUUCAAAGGACAGGUUGACUCUCUUGUUAGGAGCUAAUGCAGCUGGUGACUUUAAAUUGAAGCCAAUAUUCAUUUAUCAUUCUGAAAAUUCUAGGGUCCUUAAGAAUUAUGCCAAAUUCUGCUUGUGUUCUCUAAAUGGAACAACAAAGCCUGAAUGACAGCACAUCUGUUUACAGCAUGGUUUUCUGAACAUGUUAAGCCCACUGUUGAGACCUACUGCUCAGAAAAAAAGGUUCCUUUCAAAAUAUUACUGCUCAUUAACAAUGCACUUAGUCACCCAAGAGCUCUGAUGGCUAUGUACAAGGAGAUUAAUGUUGUUUUCAUGUCUGCUAACACAACAUACAUUCUGUAGCAGAUGGAUUAAGGAGUAAUUUAGACCUUCAAGUCCUAUUUUUUUAAAAAAUACAUUUUAUAAGGCUGCAAUGGAGCUAUUCCUUUGAUAGAUCUGGGCAAAGGAAAUUGAAAACCUUCUGGAAAGGAUUCACCAUUCUAAAUGACAUUAAGAACACUCAUGGUUAAUAGGAGGAGGUCAAAAUACCAACGUGGACUGUAAUCCCAGCAUUUUGGGAGGCCAAGGCGGGUGGAUCACUUGAGGUCAGGAGUUCAAGACCAGCCUGGCCAACAUGCUGAAAUCCUGUCUCUACUAAAAAUAUAAAACAUUAGCCGGGUGUGGUGGUGGGCGCUUGUAAUCCCAGUUACUUGGGAGGCUGAGGCAGGAGAAUCUCUUGAACCCAGAAGGUGGAGGUUGCAGUGAGCCGAGAUUGUGCCACUGCACUCCAGCCUGGGCAACGGAGUGAGACUCCAUCUCAAAAAACAAAACAAAACAAAACAAAACAAAUAAACAAACAAAAGACAAAAAAAAACCCAACAUUAACAGGAGUUGGGAAGAAAUUUGAUAUGGUUCAGAUCUGUGUCCCCACCCAAAUCUCAUGUCGAAUUGUAAUUCCCAGUGUUGGAGCUGGGGCCUGGAGGAAGGUGGUUGGAUAACGGGGGUGGUUUCUCAUGGCUUAACACCAUCCCCCUUAGUUGCCGUCAUCACAUACUUGUGAGAUCUGGUUGCUUAAAAAUGUGUAUCACCUCCUCCCCGCUCUCUUUCUCCUACUCUGGCCAUGUGAAAUUACUUGCUCUUCCUUCGCCUUCUGCCAUGAUUGGAAGCUUCCUGAGACCUCCCCGGAGGCUGAUGCUGCCGUGCUUCCUGUACAGCCUGCAGUACUGUGAGCCAAAUAAACCUCUUUUCUUUAUAUAUUACCCAGUCUCAGGCAUUUCUUUAUAG